GAGAGAGAGAGAGAGAUAGUUGGUAGAUAAUAGAGAGAUACAUGAUUGAUAGAUGAUAGGGAGAGAGAGAGAGAUAGUUGAUAGAUAAUAGAGAGAUACAUGAUUGAUAGAUGAUAGGUAGAGAGAGAGAGAUAGUUGAUAGAUAAUAGAGAGAUAAUGAUUGAUAGAUGAUAGGUAGAGAGAGAGAGAGAGAUAGUUGAUAGAUAAUAGAGAGAUACAUGAUUGAUAGAUGAUAGAGAGAGAGAGAGAGAGAUAGUUGAUAGAUAAUAGAGAGAUACAUGAUUGAUAGAUGAUAGGUAGAGAGAGAGAGAGAGAUAGUUGAUAGAUAAUAGAGAGAUACAUGAUUGAUAGAUGAGAGAGAGAGAGAGAGA
rnacentral:lncRNA from 1 species